rnacentral:rRNA from 1 species
GACGAACGCUGGCGGCGUGCUUAACACAUGCAAGUCGAACGGAAAGGCCCUGCUUUUGUGGGGUGCUCGAGUGGCGAACGGGUGAGUAACACGUGAGUAACCUGCCCUUGACUUUGGGAUAACUUCAGGAAACUGGGGCUAAUACCGGAUAGGAGCUCCUGCUGCAUGGUGGGGGUUGGAAAGUUUCGGCGGUUGGGGAUGGACUCGCGGCUUAUGAGCUUGUUGGUGGGGUAGCGGCUUACCCAGGGUAUGACGGGUAGCCGGCCUGAGAGGGUGACCGGGCACACUGGAACAGAGACACGGUGCAGACUGCUACGGGAGGGAGCAGUGGGGAAGAUGGGACAAUGGGCGCAGGCCUGAUGCAGCACUACCGGGUGGGUGAUGAAGGCCUUCGGGUGGGAAAGCUAUUUUGUGGGGAAAGAAAAGCAGCAGGUUAAAAACUAGCUGUUCUGACGGGAACAAAAGAGGAAGCACCGGCUAACUUCGUG